GACGAACGCUGGCGGCACGCUUAACACAUGCAAGUCGAACGGGGUCCAUGGAGCUUGCUCCGGAAGACCUAGUGGCGAACGGGUGCGUAACACGUGAGAAACCUGCCCUGAACUUGGGAAUAACAGUCGGAAACGACUGCUAAUACCGAAUACCUUCACGACGUCGCAUGGCGAUGUGAAGAAAGCCUUGUGCGGUUCAGGAGGGUCUCGCGACCUAUCAGCUAGUUGGUGAGGUAACGGCUCACCAAGGCAUCGACGGGUAGCUGGUCUGAGAGGAUGAUCAGCCACACUGGAACUGAGACACGGUCCAGACUCCUACGGGAGGCAGCAGUGGGGAAUAUUGCACAAUGGGCGCAAGCCUGAUGCAGCGAUGCCGCGUGCGGGAUGAAGGCCCUAGGGUUGUAAACCGCUUUCAGUAGGGAAGAAAAUGACGGUACCUAUAGAAGAAGGUGCGGCCAACUACG
rnacentral:rRNA from 1 species